GGAUUUAUAGCUUAAUGGUAAAGCUCAUGAUUGUCGAUUAUGAAGUUGCCGGUUCGAUCCCGGUUGAAUCCG